AGAACGAACGCUGGCGGCGCGUUUAAGCAUGCAAGUCGAGCGGCAAGGGCCUUCGGGCCCUAGAGCGGCGGACGGGUGAGUAACACGUGGACAAUCUGCCCCCCGGCCGGGAUAGCCAGGGAAACCUGGAUUAAUACCGGAUGAGACGGGACCCGCGAUGGCGGGAUCCGGGAAAGGCGCUGCGGCGCCGCCGGGGGAUGAGUCUGCGUCCCAUUAGCUAGACGGCGGGGUAACGGCCCACCGUGGCGACGAUGGGUAGCCGGCCUGAGAGGGUGGACGGCCACAUUGGAACUGAGACACGGUCCAGACUCCUACGGGAGGCAGCAGCUAAGAAUCUUCCGCAAUGGGCGAAAGCCUGACGGAGCGACGCCCGCGUGAACGAAGAAGGCCGUGAGGUUGUAAAGUUCUUUUCGGGAGGGGGAACAACCGUGGCAGGGAGUGGCCGCGGGAUGACGUGAAUCCCGGAAUAAGCCCCGGCUAACUACGUGCCAGCAGCGGC
rnacentral:rRNA from 1 species